rnacentral:sRNA from 1 species
GAAGAAGGAGCUCUGUCUGUACUACAGCAGUUCAAGGAAAGUGACUUAUCACAUGUUCAGAACAAAAGUGCAUUUUUAUGUGGAGUUAUGAAGACCUACAGGCAGAGAGAGAAACAGGGGAGCAAGGUGCAAGAGUCCACAAAGGGACCUGAUGAAGCGAAGAUCAAGGUAUUUGUAGGCAAAAUACCAAGGGAUUUAUAUGAGGAUGAGUUGGUGCCCCUUUUUGAGAAGGCCGGACCCAUUUGGGAUCUACGUCUUAUGAUGGAUCCACUGUCCGGUCAGAAUAGAGGGUAUGCAUUUAUCACCUUCUGUGGAAAGGAAGCUGCACAGGAAGCCGUGAAACUGUGUGACAGCUAUGAAAUUCGCCCUGGUAAACACCUUGGAGUGUGCAUUUCUGUGGCAAACAACAGACUUUUUGUUGGAUCCAUUCCGAAGAAUAAGACUAAAGAAAACAUUUUGGAAGAAUUCAGUAAAGUCACAGAGGGUUUGGUGGACGUUAUUCUCUAUCAUCAACCCGAUGACAAAAAGAAGAAUCGGGGGUUCUGCUUCCUUGAAUAUGAGGAUCACAAGUCAGCAGCACAAGCCAGACGCCGGCUGAUGAGUGGAAAAGUAAAAGUGUGGGGAAAUGUAGUUACAGUUGAAUGGGCUGACCCUGUGGAAGAACCAGAUCCAGAAGUCAUGGCUAAGGUAAAAGUUUUGUUUGUGAGAAACUUGGCUACUACAGUGACAGAAGAAAUAUUGGAAAAGUCAUUUUCUGAAUUUGGAAAACUCGAAAGAGUAAAGAAGUUGAAAGAUUAUGCAUUUGUUCAUUUUGAAGACAGAGGAGCAGCUGUUAAG